rnacentral:misc_RNA from 1 species
GAAAUGCGAUACUUGGUGUGAAUUGCAGAAUCCCGUGAACCAUCGAGUUUUUGAACGCAAGUUGCGCCCGAAGCCUCCGGCUGAGGGCACGUCUGCCUGGGCGUCACGCAUCGCGUCUCCCCCAAACCCACCUCGGUGGGGGGGGAGGAGGAUGGUUUCCCGCGACUCACCGGUCGCGGCUGGCCUAAAAUUGGAGCCCCCGGCAUCGGUAUGCCGCGGCGAUAGGUGGUGAACAAGGCCUCGGCCAAGCAAGCAACCCGUCGCGCGUGCCGUGCCAGCGUGGGCUCGGAGGACCCUUCAGCGUUGCCUAACGGCAACCAAACCGUUGCGACCCCAGGUCAGGCGGGGCUACCCGCUGAAUUUAA